rnacentral:tRNA from 1 species
GCUCCACUGGCGCAAUGGUAGCGCGUCAGACUUCUACGUAUCCACCUGCUUAUCUGCGUGAUGUGUUAAUCUGAAGGCUGCGGGUUCGAGUCCCGCGUGGAGUA